GUUACUGCUAACGGAACGAAAACGGCUAAACCAAUUUUGGUACGACUGCACGAAGCUGGAUGAUGAUAAUAAACUCGUGCUGUUGUAGAUUUCAACCAAGCACAGAGUGGAUAUUUUACAAUGUCAAUCAAUACGUACGUUUGAGCAUGAAUCCAAAUUAAUAUAUUUUAUUUUCUU